rnacentral:misc_RNA from 1 species
UCUCCGUAGGUGAACCUGCGGAAGGAUCAUUAAUGAGUUGUCAUGGGGUUCGAUGCUGGCAGCCAGUUUUUGGAUGCAUGUGCAUGCCCUAACAAUCAUCUUCUUCCAAACACCUGUGCACAUUUUUGAGGGAGUCUUGAGUUGGUUGCCGCUCUUGGGUGAUUUUCUCACAUUCCCUUAAAUCAUUAUACGCGAUUAACAAUGUUGAACGUGCUCUGUGCCGCAAGGCCAUUAAUAUAAUACAACUUUUAACAACGGAUCUCUUGGCUCUC